rnacentral:rRNA from 1 species
UACGUAGGGGUCUAGGGUUGUCCGGAAUCAUAGGGCGUAAAGAGCUCGUAGGCGGUUCGGCAAGUCGGAUGUGAAAUCUCCACGCUCAACGUGGAGGGGCCAUUCGAAACUGCCGUGACUCGAGUCCGGUAGGGGAGUGCGGAAUUCCCGGUGUAGCGGUGAAAUGCGCAGAUAUCGGGAGGAACACCAGUGGCGAAGGCGGCACUCUGGGCCGGAACUGACGCUGAGGAGCGAAAGCGUGGGGAGCGAACAGG